ACUACGUAGUUGUUACCUUAGAUCAGGUAGGUAGUUUACUUGUUGUUAACGUCAAAUAUCGAAUAAAACCUAUAUUAUAUAUUACAGGCGUAUAUUUAUUAUAAUAAUAUAACACUAUUUUUAUUAUACAGAUGUCGUGUCUACACGUCUUUAUUUUGACGAUAUUAUUCAAAACACGCGACUUUCUGUUUUAAUUCCCAAUAAAAUUCGGUGGCGAAAUUAUUACUAUUAUUACCGAUUUCACGUUGGGUACCAAUUUUAAAUUUAUGUGAUUAAUUUUGUGCGCCGGUGGUGUACAGUCAAUUUCAGCGGGAAAUCGCUAAAUCGAUUCGAACAAAAGUUUGACAAUAACACCGCCACGGAGACUCCUUGCUAUGGCUAAAAUCGGAAAUUUCACAUGGGAUUUUGUAUUUUAGAUUGCUCUUCGAAGUCAUUACUUUAAAUUGUCCCCGGAUACAUACACCGCUACUACAACAAUUCAACAUUUUGUGUGUAUGUGUUCAAAAAGUUUUUUUAUAUCUAUACGUAUAUAAAAACCAAAUAAAACGAAGAAGUUAAAAGUAGAAUAAAACCCGUACUUAAUCAAAAAACAUAAAGUUUAAGUUUCGCGAAAAAAUGCUUUCGCUGGACGUCUAUGAUAUAAAAGAAGAAGAGGCGUCUUGUAAAUAAUAUUUUGAAAACUACAAACCGGACUGAAAUGUUGAAAUAAAUGUCCCUCGGCGGAUGAUUUGUUAGGCUAUAGCUAUCAAACGGAUAGCUUACACCAUGCAGUACAUAGCACGAAAGUAAAAAACAAAAAAGCAAGCCGUGAAAGAUAAAAAUACUAAUAAAUAAACGCAGAAAAUAUUAU